rnacentral:rRNA from 1 species
UUAAGUUAUUAAGGGCGCACGGUGGAUGCCUUGGCACUAGAAGCCGAUGAAGGACGUUACUAACGACGAUAUGCUUUGGGGAGCUGUAAGUAAGCUUUGAUCCAGAGAUUUCCGAAUGGGGAAACCCAGCAUGAGUUAUGUCAUGUUAUCGAUAUGUGAAUACAUAGCAUAUCAGAAGGCACACCCGGAGAACUGAAACAUCUUAGUACCCGGAGGAAGAGAAAGAAAAUUCGAUUCCCUUAGUAGCGGCGAGCGAAACGGGAAGAGCCCAAACCAACAAGCUUGCUUGUUGGGGUUGUAGGACACUCUAUACGGAGUUACAAAGGACGACAUUAGACGAAUCAUCUGGAAAGAUGAAUCAAAGAAGGUAAUAAUCCUGUAGUCGAAAAUGUUGUCUCUCUUGAGUGGAUCCUGAGUACGACGGAGCACGUGAAAUUCCGUCGGAAUCUGGGAGGACCAUCUCCUAAGGCUAAAUACUCUCUAGUGACCGAUAGUGAACCAGUACCGUGAGGGAAAGGUGAAAAGCACCCCGGAAGGGGAGUGAAAUAGAACCUGAAACCGUGUGCUUACAAGUAGUCAGAGCCCGUUAAUGGGUGAUGGCGUGCCUUUUGUAGAAUGAACCGGCGAGUUACGAUUUGAUGCAAGGUUAAGCAGUAAAUGUGGAGCCGUAGCGAAAGCGAGUCUGAAUAGGGCGUUUAGUAUUUGGUCGUAGACCCGAAACCAGGUGAUCUACCCUUGGUCAGGUUGAAGUUCAGGUAACACUGAAUGGAGGACCGAACCGACUUACGUUGAAAAGUGAGCGGAUGAACUGAGGGUAGCGGAGAAAUUCCAAUCGAACCUGGAGAUAGCUGGUUCUCUCCGAAAUAGCUUUAGGGCUAGCCUCAAGUGAUGAUUAUUGGAGGUAGAGCACUGUUUGGACGAGGGCCCCUCUCGGGUUACCGAAUUCAGACAAACUCCGAAUGCCAAUUAAUUUAACUUGGGAGUCAGAACAUGGGUGAUAAGGUCCGUGUUCGAAAGGGAAACAGCCCAGACCACCAGCUAAGGUCCCAAAAUAUAUGUUAAGUGGAAAAGGAUGUGGCGUUGCCCAGACAACUAGGAUGUUGGCUUAGAAGCAGCCAUCAUUUAAAGAGUGCGUAAUAGCUCACUAGUCGAGUGACACUGCGCCGAAAAUGUACCGGGGCUAAACAUAUUACCGAAGCUGUGGAUUGUCCUUUGGACAAUGGUAGGAGAGCGUUCUAAGGGCGUUGAAGCAUGAUCGUAAGGACAUGUGGAGCGCUUAGAAGUGAGAAUGCCGGUGUGAGUAGCGAAAGACGGGUGAGAAUCCCGUCCACCGAUUGACUAAGGUUUCCAGAGGAAGGCUCGUCCGCUCUGGGUUAGUCGGGUCCUAAGCUGAGGCCGACAGGCGUAGGCGAUGGAUAACAGGUUGAUAUUCCUGUACCACCUAUAAUCGUUUUAAUCGAUGGGGGGACGCAGUAGGAUAGGCGAAGCGUGCGAUUGGAUUGCACGUCUAAGCAGUAAGGCUGAGUAUUAGGCAAAUCCGGUACUCAUUAAGGCUGAGCUGUGAUGGGGAGAAGACAUUGUGUCUUCGAGUCGUUGAUUUCACACUGCCGAGAAAAGCCUCUAGAUAGAAAAUAGGUGCCCGUACCGCAAACCGACACAGGUAGUCAAGAUGAGAAUUCUAAGGUGAGCGAGCGAACUCUCGUUAAGGAACUCGGCAAAAUGACCCCGUAACUUCGGGAGAAGGGGUGCUCUUUAGGGUUAACGCCCAGAAGAGCCGCAGUGAAUAGGCCCAAGCGACUGUUUAUCAAAAACACAGGUCUCUGCUAAACCGUAAGGUGAUGUAUAGGGGCUGACGCCUGCCCGGUGCUGGAAGGUUAAGAGGAGUGGUUAGCUUCUGCGAAGCUACGAAUCGAAGCCCCAGUAAACGGCGGCCGUAACUAUAACGGUCCUAAGGUAGCGAAAUUCCUUGUCGGGUAAGUUCCGACCCGCACGAAAGGCGUAACGAUUUGGGCACUGUCUCAACGAGAGACUCGGUGAAAUCAUAGUACCUGUGAAGAUGCAGGUUACCCGCGACAGGACGGAAAGACCCCGUGGAGCUUUACUGUAGCCUGAUAUUGAAAUUCGGCACAGCUUGUACAGGAUAGGUAGGAGCCUUUGAAACGUGAGCGCUAGCUUACGUGGAGGCGCUGGUGGGAUACUACCCUAGCUGUGUUGGCUUUCUAACCCGCACCACUUAUCGUGGUGGGAGACAGUGUCAGGCGGGCAGUUUGACUGGGGCGGUCGCCUCCUAAAAGGUAACGGAGGCGCUCAAAGGUUCCCUCAGAAUGGUUGGAAAUCAUUCAUAGAGUGUAAAGGCAUAAGGGAGCUUGACUGCGAGACCUACAAGUCGAGCAGGGUCGAAAGACGGACUUAGUGAUCCGGUGGUUCCGCAUGGAAGGGCCAUCGCUCAACGGAUAAAAGCUACCCCGGGGAUAACAGGCUUAUCUCCCCCAAGAGUUCACAUCGACGGGGAGGUUUGGCACCUCGAUGUCGGCUCAUCGCAUCCUGGGGCUGUAGUCGGUCCCAAGGGUUGGGCUGUUCGCCCAUUAAAGCGGUACGCGAGCUGGGUUCAGAACGUCGUGAGACAGUUCGGUCCCUAUCCGUCGUGGGCGUAGGAAAUUUGAGAGGAGCUGUCCUUAGUACGAGAGGACCGGGAUGGACAUACCUCUGGUGUACCAGUUGUCGUGCCAACGGCAUAGCUGGGUAGCUAUGUGUGGACGGGAUAAGUGCUGAAAGCAUCUAAGCAUGAAGCCCCCCUCAAGAUGAGAUUUCCCAACUUCGGUUAUAAGAUCCCUCAAAGAUGAUGAGGUUAAUAGGUUCGAGGUGGAAGCAUGGUGACAUGUGGAGCUGACGAAUACUAAUCGAUCGAAGACUUAAUCAA